rnacentral:tRNA from 1 species
GCGGUAGUAGCUCAGUGGUAGAGUGCCGCCUUGCCAAGGCGGAUGUCGCGAGUUCAAAUCUCGUCUACCGCUCCA